CGCCGAGCUCUGGUAUCUCUUCUUCGGAGGCCUCAGCGCUGAGACAUACUGGGAAAAACAGAUGAGGGCACAGAUUUCAGGGACUUUCAAAAACAAUGACGUGUGUCUGUGUACACGUGUCGGCCCCUCACUUUGUGUCUGUCCACUCUGGUGGAGAUCCGGUUGAUAUUUGGCAGCAUCCGGAGCCGUUUCCACGUCUCAAGCAGGAGCUGGAGGAGGUUUUUCAGAGACUGGCCUGUGGAACAGUGGCGUGCACCUACUUUCUUGUUCCUGAAGGCCUCCACCAGCCCGACUGCCUGCUCCACCGUCAGAGG